rnacentral:lncRNA from 1 species
AAAGAGAUGGGGCUGAGGCCACCGGCUUGCAAGGGACCCUGCCUGCAGCUUCCAGAGCCCAGCGGCUGGGCCAUGCGGAGAGGAACGGACUGGCUGGGACCUGGCAUGGGUCCAGUCCUGCCACCACUUUGCUCCUGGACAGGGUCAUCUGUGCCUCUUUUCAUCCGGUGAUUAUUGCACUUAUCUAAUAAAUAAAAAUUACAUGAGACGCUAUAAAUAGAAGUUCUGGACAUGGUAGGACCGCAUAGGCAUCAGCUAUGAUUUAAACCACAUGGCAACAGCAUGGCCUCUAGGAAGAGGGAGGCAGCGGGGAGGCUGUUCUGGUGCGAGAUGAGCUCUGAGCAAGGCCCAGACAGGUUGCUGGUUAAGGCAGGAAAGGGCAAAUAAGAUUCGACGAUGCAGGAAUCUCUGGGACUUUGCUCCUAGGACUGCCCGGGAAUCUUGACCCAUCGCUAAGUAAGAUGGUGUUUAUAAACACAGGGGAACCUCUCAAAGGAACAAAAAGCAUUUAUUCACUCAACCUGGGACUUCAACUUUAUGGAAGAAGUAAGAGAAGAAGAGGAAGAAGAGGAAGAAGAAGCGGUGGCGGCGGAGGAGGAAGAGGAGGAGGAGGAAGAGAAGAGGAAGAAGAAGAAGGAGGAGGAGUAGCAGGAGGAGAAGAAGAGGAGGAGGAGGAGGAAUGCAUUUGUAUUCCGUCUGGAAAAGAGCUUUCCCUAGGCAAAGCUAAGACACACAGCUGCAGCCUUGACCGAUGACAGCUGUCCAUUUCAGGUCCCACUCAUAGAAAUAAUGACCCGGGCACAGGCAGCAAUUGUAGCAGACGCUAUUCCUUUUUUCUGUGUGUGCAUCAUUUUCGUUUGGUUUGUUUCUUACUCUUUGGUAGGAAUUUCUGCUUGAUGCUCCCACAGGACCUCGGUUCAGCUGGAUCAGUGGAAAACCUGUACAACUUGUCCCUUUAUAAAAACUCCCAGUUACAGUUUUUCUUUGAUAUUUACUUUGGAAUACCUAGAGACUCUUCCCACCCACAUCCCCCUUUCCAAAGACAACAUGGUCGUGUUGGAAACAAAAUUCGGGAGACCAGAGGACUUUGACUGUGGGAAGAAAUGUGGUAGUUUAGGAACCUGCGACUCCUUCUUCCCAGCCCUCCAGACCCUCCAAAGAGCUGUUGACAAGAGCCUUAGAUGAAGGCCCUGAGCUGUAGCCUAGCGCAAUUCUCCUUUGCCUAUCUGAAGAGCAGGACAGGCAGGAUUAGCGAGGCAAACAAAACCUGAAGGACUUCUUAAUAGCCAGACAUCUGAGGCCCUUCAGAACCACUUUGAAGAUCGGGGGUGAUACUGGCUGAGGCUCCAGGUUUAUCAUUUGAUUUGUGACUUUCAGCUCAGGCAGGAGACAGAGAGGAGAGUUCACCAGAGACAAGUCACUUCUGUUGAAUGAGUCACCAUCGCCACACAGCUGCUUGUUCCAGAGCAGCUAUGGUGGGGACAUUGUCUAGGAUCCCAGGAAAAGUGAAAACAUUGACCGGAAUGUUUCCAGCACAAUGAAUGUGAUAACAGAGAAUGAAUAAGUGGAACAGCUCCAACACAGCCAAGAAGAUGUUGCUUUAUGAGAGCUGACUUUCCCCAGAGCAGUGCGCUCCCAUCACAAGGAGGAUUAAUUCAUACAUUUCAAGGCCUAAAUGACAGACGAUAAAUGUGUGUAAUUAUGUAAGUGAGCCCACUGUGUUAGUAUGCAAAGGUGCCCACUUUUCCUGCAUCAGAUAUUGACCCUCUUCCAUGUCAAAAUUCAGAGAGUGACAGCUGCCAAUCUCACCCCAGCAUCCUCACCUGCUAACCAGGUAUCUGUACUCACUCAGCGUGCCUGCUUGGCGAAUCUCAGCUGAGUCAGUUACAACAGGUCCCCUUUCAGACAGGUGAUGAUUAGAAGGUUUGUGACUCAAAGAGCAUGACGUGUUCCCUUUCCUCUGCAGCAGGAAGAUACUCCCUGAUAUCGUAGCAGUGACUCAGCCUGCCAAGACAAUCCAUUUCAUUCUUGUACCAUUCUUGCAUAAAUCACAGUGCAGAAAGCUUGGCAAGAUAAUUUUUAAAUUUUAAACUCGACCAGGAGAACUGUUGAGAAAUAAGACUUCAUAUUGAAGUACGUUUCCUCUCCUCGGAAGCUUUCAAGAGGCGAUGCUGGGUGAAGGGUUACUCCAAGGUAAAUAAAUGGUACUGUACUUGGUAGUAAACAGGAGCUGAGUGCUGAUUCAGCCAGUCACAGGCCGUUCCUUCCUGAAGAACUCAAAAGCUGUUAGCAUGUAAAGUGGGCUCUUCCACAAGGUGACAGAUCAAUCAAACUCUGUCAUCUCCCAAACCUCUUUGAGGCAGGGUUCCAUCAACAGAUACCAUCUUUGUUCACUUUACAGUUUGGGGGGUGAGGAGAAGGGCAGAAAAAGAACUCUCAUUGGAAAUAUUAUUUAAUGUUUUAAAUUAACUCAAAAGAUCUUAUGUUAAUAUAUUAUUUUUGUGAGUUGUUCUGAAUUUAGAUUCGUUUCCGUGUAAUAAUUCAGAUACAAAGCUAAACAUUGCAGAAAUGAUGGCAAAUACUCAUUUAAGGUUUAUUAUGCACAAAACACCAAGAUAUGUGUUUUGUAUUAUUUAGUCCUCUUGGAAACUGAAGCAGAUACUGUUAUUAUCACACUAAGACAGGUGAGCAAACUGAGGCCAGGAGAGGCAUCCGAGGUUACGCAGAACCCAGCCCACGACACACAGCUGCACUCUUUCCCUGCAAGUGACAAAGUUUAGCUUUAUAAGCCAGGAUUGCCUUUCUUUUCACUCUGACUAGAGAAAAAUAGUUCAAACACAGCCAGAAAAAUGUUGCUUUACGAGACCUGACUGACCCCAGAGCAGUGGGCUCCCAUUAUGGGGAGGACAUAUAUAAGAGCCUAAAAUUAUAGCUCUAAAAUUUAUAUCAUUUUAUUAUAUAUUUAUCUGAACUUUUUUUAUUAUUAUUUAUUUAUUUUUGAGAUGGAGUCUCACUCUGUCACCCAGGCUCAAGUGCAGUGGUGCUAUCUCAGCUCAUUGCAACCUCCACCUCCUGGUUCAAGCGAUUAUCUUGCCUCAGCCUCCCAAGUAGCUGGGAUUACAGGCAACCACCACCACGCCUGGUUAAUUUUUGUAUUUUUAGUAGAGACAGGGUUUCACUAUGCUGGCCAGGCUGGUGUUGAUCUGUCCUCAGGUGAUCUGCCUGCCUUGGUGAACAUUUUCUAUAUAUGUAAAAUAUUGUUAUAUAAUUUACAUUUCAGUUCAAUAUAUCAGAGCCAUGUCCUUGCUUUGUGUCUUUGCCAUUCGAGCUGCUGUAACAAUACACAUGGCUUAAACAAGUAUUCAUUUCUCACAGUUCUGGAGGCUGAAAGUCCAAGAUCACGAUGCUGGCAGAAUCGGUGUCUGGUGGGAGCCUGUUUCCUGGCUCGUUGAUGGUGCCUUCUCCUUGGGUCCUCACCCGGUGAAAGAGGUGAGGGAGCUCUCUCUGGCCAUUUUUUCUAAGGGCCCUAAUCCCAUCCUUAAGGACUCCAUCCUUAUGACCUCAUCACUUCCCAAAGAUGGCAUCUCCUAAUACUUAAGAGGUCAGGAUUUCGACAUGAAUUUUGAAGGAACACAAAUAUUCAGUCCAUAGCACCUUCCAAAGAGUUAGAGUGUGUGUUCCCAGCCUCAGCCACGUUGACAUUCUGACGGAAACAGUUCUUUGUGGUAGGAGACCGUCCUGUACACAGUGUGUUCAACAGCACCCCUGGCCCUCACCCACUAGAUGGUAGGUGCAUAUCUGUCACUUGUGACAAGCAAACUUACCUCCAGGCAUUGCCACAUGUCCCCUGCUCGGGUGGGAUGUGGGAAGCCAAGUCAACCCCAGGAGAGAGCCACUGAUGGAGACAUUCCAGGGCAAUCUUAUUCCUGAAGUCCUGUGUCUUAGUUAGAAACGUAAAAUACGUGAGUGGCAAACAACCCAAGACUUCCUUGCUGAACAGCAGGAAAUCAGCCUCCUGUAGCCCCACUCCUCACCUCCACUUGGCAUGACCAACCUCCUCAGUCCUCAGUGGGUUUUCUUCCCUCUUCCCUGGAACUGUGUAAGGAUUCCUGAUGUCUCCACCAGGCCCUAGCCUGACACCUGCUCCUCACGGCUCAGGACGCUGCCCCUCAAAGGCCUGGCCCAAAAUAGGAGCUGAUAAUCUGGCAUGACUUCUUAUACUAAGCCUUCCAAUUUCUCUCUGGAUUAGAUUCUUUUCUCCCUCUCCCUGGGAUAGGAAACAUUCAGAGUUUGACUCUUGAUUUGCCCACCACCCCAGGGCUGUGCCCCACAUGGCUUCUUUGGGAUAUUUAGAAGAAAAAUCCUCAUAAGAAAUUGACUGUGAGGGCCGGGCGCAGUGGCUCACACCUAUAAAUCUCAGAACUUUGGGAGGCCGAGGAAGGCAGAUCACUGAAGCUCAGGAGUUCGAGACCAGCCUGUCUGUACUAAAAAUACAAAUAUUGGCUAGGCAUGGUGGCACACACCUGUAAUCUCAGCUACUUGGGAGGCUGAGGCAGGAGAAUCGCUUGAACCUGGGAGGCAGAGGUUGUGGUAAGCCGAGAUUGGGCCACUUCACUCCAGCCUGGGUAACAGAGCGAGAUUCUGUCUUAAAAAAAAAAAAAGACUGUGAUAGGAAAUGGUUCUCUCUAGUCCUCAAAAUGUUUUUUAUGAAAUAGAUCCCAUCACGAUGAGACCUGCUGCAUUCAUGAUGUCAGAAUCAUCAUACAAAGGUGCACACUGGUGUAUUUAAACUUGGGAUAUGGCAUGCUUGCCUCUGUGCAAACUGUACAUGCCGAUUUCCACUCUCUAGGGGAUCAUUCUGAGGCCACCAGGGGCUACUCUGAUAACACACAGCCCUGCAGGAAGCAGAGCUCCUCCUGGCCUCCCCAACACCCUUGGGGCAGAACAGGAACUUCUCCAAGCACCUGUCCUCCUUCUACUGCAAUUUCUCCUUCACCUUCAGUGAUUGUCUUUAUAUAAUGUAGAGCCCAAGUUCAAGGGCUUGUCUCCAGGAUGAUGCCUUAUGACAUACAAUUUUCUGGGCAAAUUUCUACCUCUUUCCCAUUAAAACCAUGUCUGCAUCCACAGUGACACGUUCCUGAGAACACUGCGGACAGAAGGCGCAAAUGUCUCAUACCUGAACUUAGCCCACGUGUCGCUUCUGUGUUUAUUAUGUUUUUGUUAGAAUUGGUCUGUGUUCAUUCUAAGUGUAAAAAGAACGCAAAUUAAAUAGGAUACAAGAUAUAUGACUAAAACCUUUUAAAACUAAUAUUUAUAUGAAAUAAGACAUUCUGUGUUAUUUUUAGGUGAGGUGAGAAAAAUGUCCUAUUAUAAGAUAUAUAGUUUCUUAUAAUGGAAAGAAACAUACAUAUUUCCCAUUAAAUAACCUCUGACAUUAUUUUAACAUUUUCUACCAAGUUUAUUACUGAUAAAUAGAAGUCAAGAAAUAACGCCACUGAGAAUAUCCUAUAUUGAAGAAUCUUGUUUUAUAAAGCAUCUUCCCAUACAAUGAUAAUCGGUUACUGUAAUAUCUUUUCAAGCCAUACCACUCAGAAAUAUUUUAAAUAUUAUACAACUUUGUAUAUAUAUAUAUAUUAUAUAUAUGCAUAUUUUCUUUAGUCAAUGACAUGAUGCUUUACACAAGUCAAAUAUUAUAUUCAUAAUCUUAGAAAAGAUCUCAUAAAGAACUUGGUAACUAACUUUGAGUGUAUGUGAGACUCUUUCAGGACACUCUUAAGAAAUCAAACAUUUGGUAUUGUGUUCUUUGCUCGAGUACAACUUGAUCAUACGAGUCUAAUCUGUGUUUCCAUGUUUCUGCAUUUGAAUGAAACUAAACUGAAAUGCUUGGAACCAGUGCCUUUCCUCUCUGAAGGCUCUGCACUAUGGGCCAUGUGACUGUUCUCAGAUGUUGAAAGAAACCCACCUCCAGGAACUGGACCUCACUUGACCAAGCAAACCACGCGACACCAGCCUAUGUGUCCACUCACCCUUGAAAGAAUGGAGGGAAAAGCUUCUCCUGCUGGGCUGUGUCCUGCAGCCGGGAAUCCUGGCGGGAGGCAGAGGCCUCUGAUACGCUUCUGAUGGGUGGGUGGGAGGUCCGUGUGUGCGUGCAUGCGUGCAUGUGUGUGUGAGAGAGACAGGAAUGUGCCUUCUUUAUCAGAAGCCAUUUCCUAUGUUCAAAUGUGAUUUCUCUAUUUAUCUACAAUCUCAACUAGAAGCAUAGAAAGAAUUCUCACUCAUGUUUAGGGGGAAAGAAGUCCAGCUGUGUCUAUGAAAGCAUUCAUAUUAUCUCUCCCCCACCCCUUCAAUAUCUUGCCCAAAGCAUUAGACAUUCACUGUAGGUUUAGGCUAAAAACUUUAUUCUAUUUAGCUGAGCGUUUCCAAUAUGUUAAUAGGAAUAUGAGAGAAGCGACACGCUUGAAAACAUCACAGUUAAUUCCUCCAUUGCAAGAUACAGUGAUUGAUUGAUAGAUGAUGGAUAGCUAGACAUAGGCAGACAGAUGGAUACAGAAGCAUAAUAACAUAAGUGGAAAAUGGUCAGAAGUAGCAAAAGUUAAGGGGAAAAUUGCCUUGAAUUUCCCCACUGAGCUACCUUUGGCAGUGUCUAGGAGCCCCAGGAAGCGCUCAGCACACAUGUAUUAAUCAAGUAUGCCUUAAACAUUCAAGCCUGGACACACAAAGCAAUUUCAGCUUUUUUGUGAAAUAAAUAUCAGGUAUUAAAAACAUACUUGGACACAGAACUGUUUUCAGUCCUCGGACAAAGGCCAAAUAAUCUGAGAUGUGCACUGGGAAAAAAAGAAAGGCAGGCUUUCAGUUUCCUUUGGCAUGAAUCCAAUUUGUGCAAAGUGCUGAGCCUCCACAUCCUGGGAGAAGCCUCAGCCUAAAGCCCUCCUGGGGCCACGCUGGUUCCCUUCCCUGAUGGCUGGACCCGGGUCGUCUCAGGGGCUUCCCAGCUGGGCUGCAGGGUCAGCUGUCAGCCAUAAGUGGGCCCUUUGCUUCAAUUGUCUCUGAUGUCGCUAAGCUGCUGCAGAACCGGAGACAGAUACAAUGUCAGACUCCGUCUUAAACCCCAAGGACUGUGUCAGGGCCACUGUCAUUUCAUUCCUGUCUUUCAAAUAUCUUUACAAAUGUAAUUAAUGGGGAAUCAGCUGUCAAAUCCAUCUUUUAAUAAUCAAAUCUUAGGUGGCAAGAUUCGAUUUUGCUUUGGGUUUCCUGAUGGUUCAGAAUGUGUUCCACGCAGCUCCCUCCCUUCUCAGCCAGUUCCCCGACCAGCUCGGGGGAACAACUAUUUUUAGAUCCAGGCAAGCCCCGGAGUGUCAGACGGUGAAUUAUUAGCUGUGACUUCAAAAACAGUCACGGAGAUACUUUCGAAACCUCUGAUUUCUCCAUAGCAUGUGGACUUGAAUUUAUAUCCUGCCUUUACAGCCCAGAUUCCUGUGGUGUAGAGAGAGGCAGGCCGUCAAUGCAGCCCACAUCUGAUGUUCCUGGGCUUAUUAUUAUUAUUAUUAUUAUUAUUAUUUUUUGAGAUGGAGUCUUGCUCUGUCUCCCAGGCUGGAGGGUAGUGGUGUGAUCUCGGCUCACUGCAACCUCCACCUCCC